AGUGUAAUUGCUGGAUUGUAUGAUAAGAGCAUGUUUAGUUUUGUGAGAAACUGCCAAACUGCUUUCCAAAAUAGCUAUACCAUUUUGCAUUUCUCCUAGCAAU
rnacentral:pre_miRNA from 1 species